rnacentral:lncRNA from 1 species
GGGGGGGUGUGCACCUGAUGGCAGAGGUGCGUCCUCCGGGAGUGGCCUCUGUUCUGGCGUCCUGUCCUGUGGUUGGCUUCCCUUUGCUCUGUCGCCUGCCAGGGAACGCCCUCAGCUGCUGGUCUGUGGUGGCCGCCCCUCGGAGGUCCUGCCCUCCACUGGGGGUCCCCGCUGUGCAGUUGGGGACUCCGAGGGAGGGCCCAAGUGGGGGUUGCCUGAGGGCCCCCAUCGAUCUUACUGGCCCAUGGGGACCUGUGCAAGUGCAAGCAGGGGGAGGGUUGAGGUUGGCAGACCUGGCCCAAACUGUCCUCCCCCACCCACCAGAAAACAGGUCCCACCCCUCCCUGCACCCAGCAGGCCGUCGUGCGCCAGGUCUGGGUUUUCACGAGGAGCUCUGCUUUGCGAAGCUGCACUGGGACGUCAGGGCAGCAUCCGGGCACAGCUCACUAGCCCAGGGCAGGCAGCGGACACGUGGGGUGGCACCUAGAAGUGCCCCAAAGCCUCCUGGGCUUCUGGAAGCCCUGUGUCCUGGCCCGUGUGCCAUCCAGCCUCAUCCUCCACUAGUGGCGAGCCCGGUUCACGUCCUCAGCUGCCGGGCAGGCCCUGAGUGUGUACCAGGGUGUAGCCUUCAGAGGAAAGGGUGGCUGCGGUUGGUUCCUGUGUCCACCAGUAUUGACAAAGCAUCUGUGCCAGGGGUUUCAGUGGGCAAACACCAAGGAGCUGAGGCACUCACCAUGGCGGGAGGGUGGGGGUGGGGGUGGUGUCCAGGAAGGGGGUUUUGAGGAGACCUGAAGCUUCCAGCUGCUUGAAGAAAGAGGAAAGGCCAUUCCCUCAACUGAGGGAGUAGGGAGGUGCUCAACCUGUGCAAAGGCCCUGAGGCAGCAGCGAGCACAGGUUAUCUGAGAGUGACACUACUGUGAUUUAAAACUUGAGGGACAAAAAAAACUAAAAAAAUAAUAAAUAAAUAAAUAAAUAAAACUUGAUGGACAGCUGUUUGAACCUCUUCUCGGUCCACCUCUUGGCAUCCAUCCCCCCCUUAGUUCUUCCUUUCGGCCCUCAGCGGCUCCAGUCCACAUGACCUUACCUUCACUUAGUGGCCUUUGCGGUCUCAGGGAGGUGACCUCGUGGGCCGUGGGUGGACCGUAUCCCUGCCCCUGGGGUGUAAUGAGGAUUCUAGACCUACACCCCCAGCUGAGGCUGCAAGGGCGCCUGUCAAGACAGAAAUACAGCCUGGCAACCCCCGUGCCUAAGAGCCCUGGCCAGUGCAGGCCCGAGGGCUCCAGGGGGACGUUCGCCAGGAGACCCCCAAGGCUCCCAGCACGUGGCUUCCAGGGAAGCU